UACUGUAUUGCGUGUUCAUGUUUAUACAUCUCGAAAUGUUCAUAUAUCGUAUUAUACCGUACAUAGUAGUUGGCGGCCAUUUUAUUGGAAACGUUUACGACGAACGACCGUUGUAACGUACGGAUUCGUGAUGUCCGUCGACGUACGUUCUCACGAGGUUCGACGACAGGAGACCCCUGAUUUCGUCUUCUCUGAUCCUAAUGUGUCUGUUUUUGGAAUGCGUGAAGAGGCGACCCACGCGAGCACGCCAAGAACAAGAGAACUCCACACACCAAGACUGGAGCCAAGAUUCGAACUUCAAACCACACAACUGUGAGGCUGACGUACCAGCCACACAACACAAAUGAUGCAGUAACACAUGUAGACAGACAAUAUAACAAUACGCCCAUGCAUAUGUUCUUUAUCCCCUGAGAGAAACAGCAAAUAUUACUGCAGAUACAGAACAGAAUAAUUGAUUUCAUUCAUUUCCUUGGGGAAAUCUGAUUCAAGAUUAAAUUAAACCUGUAUCUCAAGGCACCACUGUACUUGAAAUCUACUUUUAGAUUUCAUAAAUACAGUAACCGCCCCACAUCCCCACCCCUCCAUGGUUUGUUCAAGGUUCACAGUACUGUACCACAAUGUCACCGAUUUUUUUUUGUGCAGUUAAUAAUGCUAGUUUACAUUGGGUGUAAUUCCAACAUCAACCACUAGAUGACAGUGAACUCGUUGAGUUUGAGUAUUUUGAAAGAACAAAAAUGAAAUAGGAAGUGUUUCAACAGAGCCUAGUUUCUUGUUGUCAACUAUUGAAUGAGAUCUCAUGUCAUCCUGCUUUUUCUGCCGACAGAAUGUGACGGCUCGAGUUUCAUUCCAUAAUGAUUGCUGAUUUAUAAUGAUUAUUGAU